rnacentral:rRNA from 1 species
ACACAUGCAAGUCGAGGGGCAGCAUGGUCUUAGCUUGCUAAGACUGAUGGCGACCGGCGCACGGGUGAGUAACACGUAUCCAACCUGCCGUCUACUCUUGGACAGCCUUCUGAAAGGAAGAUUAAUACAAGAUGGCAUCAUGCGUCCGCAUGUUCACAUGAUUAAAGGUAUUCCGGUAGACGAUGGGGAUGCGUUCCAUUAGAUAGUAGGCGGGGUAACGGCCCACCUAGUCUUCGAUGGAUAGGGGUUCUGAGAGGAAGGUCCCCCACAUUGGAACUGAGACACGGUCCAAACUCCUACGGGAGGCAGCAGUGAGGAAUAUUGGUCAAUGGGCGAGAGCCUGAACCAGCCAAGUAGCGUGAAGGAUGACUGCCCUAUGGGUUGUAAACUUCUUUUAUAAAGGAAUAAAGUCGGGUAUGGAUACCCGUUUGCAUGUACUUUAUGAAUAAGGAUCGGCUAACUCCGUGCCAGCAGCCGCGGUAAUACGGAGGAUCCGAGCGCUAUCCGGAUUUAUUGGGUUUAAAGGGAGCGUAGAUGGAUGUUUAAGUCAGUUGUGAAAGUUUGCGGCUCAACCGUAAAAUUGCAGUUGAUACUGGAUAUCUUGAGUGCAGUUGAGGCAGGCGGAAUUCGUGGUGUAGCGGUGAAAUGCUUAGAUAUCACGAAGAACUCCGAUUGCGAAGGCAGCCUGCUAAGCUGCAACUGACAUUGAGGCUCGAAAGUGUGGGUAUCAAACAGGAUUAGAUACCCUGGUAGUCCACACGGUAAACGAUGAAUACUCGCUGUUUGCGAUAUACUGCAAGCGGCCAAGCGAAAGCGUUAAGUAUUCCACCUGGGGAGUACGCCGGCAACGGUGAAACUCAAAGGAAUUGACGGGGGCCCGCACAAGCGGAGGAACAUGUGGUUUAAUUCGAUGAUACGCGAGGAACCUUACCCGGG